AAGCUGUCAGACCCAACAACUGGCAAAGAAAGCCAUCUCUACAAGGGCAGCUUCUCUACAAAGGUGUAACAAGAUUCUUUUGGAGGUAAUUUACACUGGAAGUAGAUGUUGGAAGUUAUUCUUCAUUUGCAGCUCACUGGCAUUUCACACCAGAACAAAGCUCACUGGUCCUAGAGAGGAAAAAGAGGAGUUCCGAGCCACAAACCACGAGCUGGCAGCAGGGACAGGGUGGAUCAGGGCCUUCACUUCAAUAGCCCUGACACUCAUUGUGGUGUAAGAAUGAUCCAGCCUCCCUCGCCCCAGGGCUCAGCACUUCCUCUGCUCCCCAGCCACUUCUGGGAAGGCUGUCUUGCACUUACCCGGAGAGCUGAGAAAUUGGCUUUGAUUCUUAAAUUGCAAGAACUCCCAUCCACCAUGGAUCAAGAGGUACCAAGGUGAGAACUUGGAAGAAGCCCAAAAUGGUAGUUUUCUAGAAGCUGGUGGAGUCGAUAUUGUCUGCCUGAUGAACAAUCAUGGAAAGAGUCUUCUAGGUAGAAAAACCCAGGAAGCCAAGGGAGCAGACACCCCAGUUCCCAGCCCUGGGAGGAGACAGUGGGGUCACCAAGGGGCGGCUUAGAGAGGCUUUGCCCUUUUCUGUAACCACCCAGCCCUGAUCCCUGGCUUUGAUACGGACUGUUGAUUGAUAUUGACUCUUUCCAAUUUUUUCUAAAGGGCAAGCCCCCACUCCCACCUUCCAUGUGGUUGUCCUUUAAGCCCUCCUGGAUAGAUUUUUUGAAGCCACGCUGAUAAAAAGAUAAUAAUAAUAAUAACUCAGAAACCACUCAAGACCGUCUGCUGUCCACACUCUCAACCUCAAAAUAGUUUAUAUUUAUAGAACACUUCACAAUUUCCACACCCCUUCCCCCAUAAAUUAUUGAUUUGAAUUUCAUGACAAACCCUUGAGGUAGUAGGUAGCAGUUAUUAGCCCCUUCUUUACUGCAGAGGAAACUGAUGCUCAGAGAGGUUAAGAAACUUGUCCAAGGUCACCCUGCCAAUAUACAGGAAGUGGUGAAAUAAAGACCCAGACCCAAGCACCCAGAGUCCUAGUUCAAGAGGCCAUUCCUGGGACUUCCCUGGUGGCGCAGUGGUUAAGAAUCCUCCUACCAAUGCAGGGGACAUGGGUUCGAGCCCUGGCCCGGGAAGACCCCACAUGCCACGGAGCAACCAAGCCCAUGCACCACAACUACUGAGCCUGCGCUCUAGAGCCCGUGUGUCACAACUACUGAAACCCACGUGCCUAGAGCCCAUGCUCCACAAUAAGAGAAGCCACCGCAAUGAGAAGCCCGUGCUCGCCGCAACUAGAGAAAGCCCACGUGCAGCAACAGAAGACCCAACGCAGCCAAUAAAGAAAUAAUGACAGAUUGGAAGACUGGGAGGCAGGUGGACCACGAACCUGAAAGCACCUCUGGGACAGCCCAAGCAACAUGACCUAUCCAUCACUGGGAGCUGGCAGGGCCCAUGAGCUCCCCCAGUGCUUCCGGGGACAAGAGAGCCAGGGGGGCCCUGAGGGCCAGAUGUUAUCUCCUGCCAUUUGCAUCUAAAAUUCAUCAUUUCUUGGCAUGAAUUGAUGGAGGAGGCAUAAAGGGGUGGUAUAAUGGGGUAGCACUUUUAAUUCCUUUCUGACCCCCAUUUAAGGCAGCCUCAAGGGGGAAGUUCCCCAAAGGUUAAAUGACUUUAGGUGAUGAGCAGGAAUACAAUUAGACAAGUCAGCCAAGAGGUAUCAGAGGCCUGUGGAGGGCAAUUUGGCAGAAUUGGACUUUUAAACGAAUGAAUUUACCCUACAAAUAUAUUCUCUCAUGGGCCAAAUGAAGCAUUCACAAGGACAUUCACUGUAGCACUUGUCCAUGUGUUGAGCAAAUAAAUAUUAAACAUUGCAGAUAUAGCAGGAAACAUGCCAAAAUAGCUGCCCUCCUGAGCUUUCGUUCCAGAGAGGAAACAUUUAGCCAUUCACCCAAUAAAUCUUUACUGAGCCUCUACUAUAUGCUACGCAGUGUUCUAGGAUAGGGUUGCCAAAUAAAAUAUAGGCUACCCAGAUAAAUUUGAAUUUCAGAUAAACACUGAAAUAUUAUUUAGUAUAACUAUGUUCCUGGGGAGGAAUGGACUGGGAGUUUGGGGUUAGUAGAUAACACAGGGAACUAUAUCCAUAUCCUGGGAUAAACUAUAAUGGAAAAGAAUAUAAAAAAGAAUGUAUAUGUUUGUAUAACUGAGUCACUUUGCUGUACGGCAGAAAUUAAUACAACAUUGUAGGACUUCCCUGGUGGCGCAGUGGUUAAGAAUCGUCUGCCAAUGCAGAGGACACAGGUUCGAUCCCUGGUCUGGACAGAUCCCACAUGCCGGGGAGCAACUAAGCCCUUGUGCCACAACUACUGAGCCAGCGUGCUGCAACUACUGAAGCUUGCGUGCCUACAGCCCGUGCUCUGCAACAAGAGGAGCCACCACAAUGAGAAGCCCGCGCACCGAAAUGAAGAGUAGCCCCCACUCGCUGCAACUAGAAAAAGCCCGUGAAGCAACGAAGACACAACGCAGCCAAAAAAUAAAAUUAAAAAAAAAGAAAUUAAUACAACAUUGUAAAUCAACUAUACUUCGAUAAAAAAAUAAACUAAAAAAACCAAGAAGUAUGGGAUAUCCUUACACUAAAAAAUUAUUCACUGUUCAUCUGAAAUUGAAAUUUAACUGGAGGGACUUCCCUGGUUGCCCAGUGGUUAAGACUCUGCGCUUCCACUGCAGGAGGCGUGGGUUCAAUCCCUGGUCAGUGAACUAAGAUCCCACAUGCUGCGUGGCAUGGCCAAAAAUAUUUCUUAAAAAAAAAUUUGUUUUUAAGAAAUUUAACUGGAAAGCCUGUAUUUCAAUAUGCUAACUCUGGCAAACCUAUUCUGAGAACAUUGUUUAUAGGAGCAAAAGUUCAGAAACAACCUAAGUGUCCAUCAACAGGGGACUUGUUAAGUAAAUUAUAGAAAACCCAAACAAUGGGAAAUCAUCAUCCAAAAAAUAAUAAGGCAAAUUUAUAUGAUGAUUUGGAAUUAUUUCCAAGAUGCAGAGUUAGGUGAAAAGAAGAAGGUUCAAAACAGUGUAUAAGUUAUCCCACCAUCUGGUAAAGAAAAAGAAAUAUGGAGAUAUGUGCAUAUAUGUUCAUAGACUGUCUUGGGAAGGUGGCCAGAGAUGGGUAACUCAUGCUUCUGCAGAAGGAGAACAAGAAAACUAGGGGAAAACAGCAGUACCCCUUCUAUACCUUUUGAAUUUUGAUAUAAAUCCAUAUAUUACUUAUUUUAAAACAACUUCUUUAUCUCUGUGUGUGUUUUAAGAUAUCUUUGCUGGUAGGGUUGUAAGAUUCUUAGAGAGAGUUGCCAUAGCCUCCCUGAAGGUCUUCGACAGUCAGGAUUUCAGGAUGGUCCAGGAGGCAGGAGAAGGGACAGAAUGACCUUGGAGGGUCACUCAAGUUCAGCAUCAAGAACCAUGGCACACACACAGGACCAGAUACAUAAUUUUCAGGGCCCAGUACAAAAUGAUGUCUCCUUGUUCAUAAAUUCUUAGGAAUUCCAGGAAUGGUAACAGCAGAGGUAUAAGUCAAGUAUGGGUUCCUUCUAAACAAAAGCAGAGAAAACCCACACGACUGCUGGGUGGUUCCUUUGAAUAGGGACACCCGGGAACGUAAUUCCUCACACACAGCCAUUUUCCACACUCACCACUGCUCCAGUCAUGAGCUCAGAAGAGAAAGCAAAACAAUAAAAUAAAUAUAAAUCAAAGCCAACCAUGUGAAUAAAAGGGAUCCAAGGGUCAGUGUGGCAGACAAAACACUAGAAUUCAGAUAGCUUUAGGAUCUUCCCGGACAAAUUACACAAAUGGCUGUCAGAGGUGUCCCAAAGUUCACACAAAAUAUGCCUCCUGGCUCACUGAGCUCCCAUUCCCCGGCAGUAAAUUAUUCACUGAACAAGCUGGAGCUGGUACAGCUGUUGUCCCAACAUAGGCCUGAUGUCCACCCAGAAAACUACUCAAUAAUUUGUACGGAAGGUGACCCAGCACUAAAUCCAUCUCUCCCUGAGCAGAGGCAUUUGCUUCAGGGGAAGAAUCCUCCAUGCUGCCUCCGGCCUCCUUUUGGAACCAGGCACCGAGUCCCCAUCGAGGGGCCACAGGUGGCCUUGCAGCCCCAGAGCAGCACCUCCUAACCCAGCAGUCAGCGAGCUUGGGAGGCCAAGGACACCAGAGGGAGGGCUCCAGUGGGUGAGAAGGAAAAAGGAGGAGGUCGGGAAAGGAAAGAAAGAGACCCUGCAGGAGAAGAGAUUACAGGCUGAAGAGGGAGGGAUGGAAUGAAGAAGAGGGAAGAAAUAUAAGCUUUGAGACAAAGUCUGUGGUUCCAGAGCUUCUACCUCCUUACCGCCCCGAUCUCAGCUUCCGGAAAUCCUUCCCAUCCUUGAGGCUCCGCUCAAACGACACUUCCUCAAGGGAGUUCACCGAUUGCCGCAGAACAAUGCUGCUACGAAAAGAAAUAGCAAUAACCUUGAUGGAGAGCGUACCACGUACCACCUGCAACAUGUCAUUUAGUUCCCCCCAACCCUUUGAAGUAGACACUAUUGCUGCCCUCAUUUUUCAAAUAAAGAAACCGAGGUAUGAAGAAGCUUAGUAACCUGCCCAAGGUUACACAGGUGACAAAUGGUGCAGCUAGAACCAGAGAGUGACUUCAGAGCCUUCACUUUUAACCAUUCAGUGCUACAAUUUCCUUCUUCUGCCUCACCCUGUGCCCUCAAGUGGCUCAGACUUUGCUUGUGGUUCCAACUUCACCUCUCCACACCCACCUCUGGGACUCUGUCUCACUCAUACCCCUGUUCCUCCAGGAACCCAGUAUGAUGUCUAGCACACAGUAGGUACUCAAUAAAUAUCAGUUCCAUUCCUUUCUCUAGUCAGACACAUGUACAAAAAGUACUGUGUCUCAGGACUUCCCUGGCGGUUCAGUGGUUAAGAAGCCACGCUCACUGCAGGGGGCACGGGUUCGGUCCCUGGAGAGGGAACUAAGAUACCACAUCCCACAUGCCAUGCAGUGCAGCCAAAUAAAAUAAAUUAAAAUAAAAUAACAGUUAUACUAUCUAAAAAAAAAAGGACUGGGACUUCCCUAGUGGUCCAGUGGGUAAGAUUCCACAUUCUCAAUGCAGGGGUCCUGGGUUCGAUCCCUGGUGGGGGAACUAGAUCCUGCAUGCAUCUGCAACUAGAAGUCCACAUGCUGCAACUAAAAACUCCACAUGCCGCAACUAAGACCUAGCACAGCCAAAAUAAAUAAAUGAACAAAUAAAUAAAUAUUUAAAAAAAAUAAAAACAUCAUCUAAAAAGAAAAAAAAAAGUACUGUCUCAGCUACAGACUGGGAGAAAAUAUUUACGUAUCACAUACCCAACACAGGAUUUGUAUUCAGAAUAUAAUAUAAACUGUUAUAACUGAAAAAAAGAAAAUAGGCAACUCAAUUAAACAAUGAGUAGGGGGCUUCCCUGGUGGCGCAGUGGUUGAGAGUCUGCCUGCCGAGUCAGGGGACGCGGGUUUGUGCCCCGGUCCGGGGGGAAUCCCACAUGCCGCGGAGCAGCUGGGCCCGUGAGCCAUGGCCGCUGGUCUGCGCGUCUGGAGCCUGUGCUCCGCAACGGGAGAGGCCACAACAGUGAGGGGCCCGCCUACCGCCAAAAAAAAAAAAAAUGAGUCAACGACAUGAACAAUGCUUCACCAAAGAGGAUAUAAGGAUGCCAAAUAAGCACAUGAAAAGCUGUUUAGUAUCAUUAGUCAUUAGGGAAAUGCAAAUUUAAAUUAUAAUGAGAUAUCACUACAUACCUAUUAGAAUGACUAAAAUUAAAGCUACUGACAAUACCAAAUUCUGGCAAUGAUGUAGAACAACUGGAACCCUCAUACAUUGCUGGUGAGGAUGCAAAAUGAAACAUCCACUCUGGAAAAUAGCUUGUCAGUUUCUUAUUAAGUUAAACAUAUAUACAUUGACCCAGUAGUCCCACUCCUGGGCACGUACCCUGGAGAAACGAAUAUUUAUGUCCACACAAAAACCUGCAUAUGUAUAUUUAUAGCAUCUCUGUUCAUAAUUGCCAAAAACUGGAAAUAGCCCAAAUGCCUUUCAAUGGUUGAAUGAAUAAAUAAACCAAGUCCAUCCAAACAAUGGAAUAUUACUCAACAAUAAAAAGGAACAAACUUUUGGCAUACACAACCUGGAUGAAUCUCAAAGGGGUUUAUACUGAGUGAAAGUUCCAUGCUGUAGAUGUCAUUUAUAUAACAUUCUCAGAUGAUAAAACUAUAGGGAGAGAGAACCGAUCAGUGGUUGCCAAGGGUUAAGUAUGGAGAGGAGUGGAAUAAAGGGAUAGUACAGGGAACUUUUUGGAGUGAUGGAACAAUCCUGUAUCCUGAUUGUGGUGGUGGUUAUAUAAAUCUAUAUAUGUGUUAAAAUUCAUAUAACUAUUCACUAGGAUGGCUAUGAUCAAAAAGACAAAUAAUAAAAUUGUUGGUGAGGAGGUGGAGAAAUUGGAACCCUCAUACAUUGCUGAUGGGAAUGUAAAAGGGUACAGCCACUUUGGAGAACAGUCCGGCAGUUCCUUAGAAAGUUAAACAUAAAAAUUAAAAAUAGAGUUACCAUAUGACCCAGUAAUUCCACUCUUAGGUAUAUGCCCAAGAGAACGAAAGUAUAUGUCCGGAUAAACGAAAUGUGGUACAUCCACACAAUGGAAUAUAAUUCAGCUUUUAAAAAGGAAUAAAGUAGUGAUACAUGCUACAACAGGGAUGAGUCCCAAAAACAUUAAGCAAGUGAAAUAAACCAAGAGAUUUCCCUGGUGGCGCGGUGGUUAAGAAUCUGCCUGCCAAUGCAAGGGACACAGGUUCGAUCCCUGGUCUGGGAAGAUCCCACAUGCUGUGGAGUAACUAAGCCCUUAUGCCACAACUGCUGAGCCCACAUGCUGCAACUACUGAAACCCACGUGCCUGGAGCCCGUGCUCCACCACAAGAGAAGCCACCUCAAUGAGAAGCCAGCGCACCGCAACGAAGAGUAGCCCCCGCUCGCCGCAACCAGAGAAAGCCUGCGUGCAGCAACGAAGACCCAACGCAACCAAAAAAAUAAAAUAAAACUUAAAAAAAUAAAAAGAAAUAAACCUGACACAAAAGGCCACAUGUUGUGUAAUUCCAUUUAUAUGAAAUGUCAAGAAUAGACAAAUACACAGAGACAGAGAGUAGAUUCAUGUUUGCCAGGGAUUCGGGAAAGGAAUAAAUGAGGAAUAACUACUAAUGGGUAUGGGGUUUCUUUGGGGAAUGAUGAAAAUGUUCUGGAAUUAGUGGUGAUGGUUGCACAGCUUUGCAAAUAUACUAAAAGCCACUUAAUUAUGUGCUUUAAAAAGGUGAAUUUUAUGUUAUGUGAAUUAUAUUGACAAAAAAUUCUAGAACUUUACACCCACAGAAAAAAAAUUUUCUUUUAAGUCAGAUUUAAUACAAUAAAGUAUUAUGCCUGAAAGGCAGGAACCGAGUUCUCACCUGCUAUGUAAGGUGCCUCACACACUAAAUACUUUGGACAGGUUCCCAAACUUGGCUAUACCUUGGAACCCCCUGGGGGAGGGGUCUUUAAGAAUUUGUGAUGCCUGGCAACUACCCCCAGACAUUCUGAUUUAAUUGGUCUGGGGUGUGACCUGGAUAUUGAGAGUUUUUAAAGCUUCCCAAGUGAUUCUAAUAUGCAGCAAAAUUUGAGAACCACUGACUUAGGAAAUGGUUGAUGAACAACCAUUCCUGGGAGCCAAAAGCCAGCCCUCCUCCCCACCUCCACCUCAGAGCAGUCAGAUCAGAUUUGUCCUUGGCAAAGAGAACAGUUACAAUCUUUCCCGCUGUUCACCAUGCAGGACAGAAACAAAUCAGAACAUCCUUUCCAGUCCCUUAAGGGCCACCGCUCUCUCUGCAGACAUGUGGUUGAUGAGACCAUCAGCAAUUCUUUGGAGGGAGAGUCUGUCCUGCAACACCCUGCCCCGCCAUCGUCUUCCGGCUCUCUGUGGCUGCCACCAUUUGCAGCUGCGGGUAGGGAAAUGAAGGAGGAAGCCACUUAAUAAACACAUGCUCAGUACAGUGUAGCAAGUUUUCUGAGUGACCCUUCCCAGGGACAUUCAUAUUUUCAAAGAAGACUCCCUGCAACACAAAGGCCUGGAUCUCUAAGGAUGGAAUUUCAGAUGCCAGUAGGGGUGAUUUUGAGGGAGAGUGUCUCUUCCCUUGACUUUUCAGGCAUGUGUCUAGACUGGUCCUGAUUGUUUGUCCUGCCUGUUUUCUUAGAGAAUGAGAUCCUAGCUAGCAGCAUUCCAUUUAUUUCAUGAUGUGGUUUGAAUGGCAAUUUCAUUCAGUUGUGAUUAGGCAUUGUCUGUGGCAUCUAUGGAUUUUCUAAGCCAAGCCAUCUCACACUUCAUUGAAAUCCCUUUUGUAUUAUCCGUAUUUUGUAUUAUUAUCCUGUUGUUUCAUGCAGGUGAGUCUUUUCUCACAGUCUUAGUUAUUAAGACUCGGUUGCAGAUUACAAAAACCAACUCAGGCAACCUCAAGCAACAGGGGAGUUUACAAUAGGAUUACAGGUGGGACCAGGAAAAGUUAAGCCUCAGGGAGAGCAGGCAUCCCGGCAUCUCUGGUCAAGAUCAGGGAGUAGAACCUGAUCUUAGAGUAGAACCUCCAUCCUAGUGGAUAGGGAAGUUAGAUCUCAAAGAAUAAUAAUCACCCAACAUUAAUUGAACAUUUACCGUGUACCAGGCACUGUUCUAAAUUUUUUUUUUUUUCUUUUGGUUGCAUUGGGUCUUCGUUGCUGCGUGCGGGCUUUCUCUAGUUGUGGUGAGUGGGGGCCACUCCUCCUUGCGGUGCACGGGAUUUUCACCGCGGUGGCUUCUCUUGUUGUGGAGCACAGGCUCUAGGCAUGUGGGCUUCAGUAGUUGUGGCACGUGGACUCAGUAGUUGUGGCUCACACACUCUAGAGCGCAGGCUUAGUAGCUGUGGCUCACAGGCUUAGUUGCUCCAUGGCAUGUGGGAUCUUCCCAGACCAGGGCUUGAACCCAUGUCCCUUGCAUUGGCAGGCGGAUUCUUAACCACUGCACUACCAGGGAAGUCCCUAAAUUCUAAAUAUAUUAAUUCAUUCAAUCCUAAGAAUAACCCUAUGAGAUUAUUCUUACAUUAUUAUUAUUAUGAAUAUAUGACUAUUACUACUCCCAUUUUACAAAUGAGGAAACUGAGGUACACAGAAGAUAAGCAACAGUUCCAAGGUCUUCCAGCUGGCAUUUGAACUCAGGUAGUCUGGUUUCAGAACCCACAUAUUUAACCACCAUGUGAAUGGUGCCCCUGGGAUUGUGCAGUGGGCAACCUGUACACUCAUACAUGGUGUCCCUGACCACAAAGUAUGGACUAGAUCAGUGUUUCUCAACAGGGGCCGCCAUGUAUGAGUGGGCCAGAGCAUUGUGCACCAGAUAAUUUGUUGUGCGGGACAGUCUCAACCCCAUUUACUAAAUGCUAGAAGUAGUAAACCCUUCAGUCAUUGGGAAAAUCAAAACGCCCCCUGGGAAAGUACCAGCCUCAGUUGAGAACCACUGGGAUAAACAGACGCCCCCAAAGGUGUCUGUCUACUUCUCUAUUUUAGGAGCCCCUUGAAGCUAACAACUAUGUGUCUUCUUUUCCUCCACCUCCAGCAUUUGGCCUAAAGAUACCCAAAGUCCUCGCCCCAGUCCUCCCUCCCCAGGAUUUGCCUGGGCAUCCAGUUUUAUUGACCUGGGAUGACAGGGAUGAAAAUAUGAAUCAUACAUGGUAAAUUCAUUUCCAUCAAGAUUUCACGAAUGUACAACGAUUUUCACAGUUUAAGAAUUAGACAUUUCUAUGAAAAAAAGGCGCCACAGUUAAAUUUUUUUUAAUUUUGCAAAAGAGAAAAGUACCUCGAAUCCUGCCCCCUGCAUAACUACUCUCAGUUUUGUAUGUUACUUCCAUUGCCUGUUUACACCUGUUCUCACAGUGAACACAGUUAUAGGCAAAGAGUGUACCUUCUGGGGUUCUGCUAUCUUCACUUAACACUUAGAAAUGUUUUCUGUGUGGUUACAUGGUCUUCAUAACAAAUGAUCUUUUUAAAGUCUGCAUAGUGUUCCAUUGCACAGAUCUACUUUAAUUUUAAACACUCUCGCAAGUGUUAAAUGUUUAGCUCAUUUCCAUGGUUAUUGAUUUUUGGGUUCUUGCUUUAACAGUAAUGCUGCAAUAUGUAUUUUUAUACACAUAGCUCUGCUUCUGUUUUAAUUAUUCAGAUAAUUCCCAGAAAUGGGAUUACUGAGUCAAUGGGUGUGGACAUCUUCAUGGCUCUUGGCACAAAGUUCUGUAUCACUUUCCCAGAGAUAUGUACCAAUUUACAGUGUUUCCUGGUAGUCUAUGCCUGCCCCAAUUUCACUACAACUUCACCAGCAUUAAGGACUCUCAUUUUUUAAAAUAACCCAUCCACGUAUGUAAAGGGGUGGUUUUUCAAGUUGGCUUAAAUUUGCGUUUCUGUGAUUUUAUGUAUUUUCCUAGUGCUGUUUGUUAUUUGUAUUCUUCCUUACAUUAAUAAACUCUAUGUAGUGUCUAGAAUGGAAAUUAUUAUCUUCAUUUUACACAUUAAAACCCCACUCAGAGAAGUUACAAAAAGUUGCCCAAGUUCACGGAGCUGCUCAAAUUAGAAGGAAAAUUUUUGACCUGCCUAGUCCAGUGCUCUUUCCACCCCACCCCAUAGCUCAGCCUGCUUUAGCUCAGACAAGCUCAGUGCUGAAAUCACGAGCAAAGGAGGGGCUCGCUCGAAAGGCCUCUCUCUGAGCUCUGUAGCUAGUGCCCACCUGGCUCCAAGUUUCCAACCCAGGUCUAAAGAGGUACUCAGAGGCAGCCCCCAGAAAGGAUCCCGGCACCCCGUUCUCCUUCCCUGCCUCUUCUGCUCCAGGUCCUGUAGUAUUUCACCUCUGAUAAAUUCCUUAGCAUGGUGGGGAAUGCCCUGGCAGUGUGGUUAGGACUCUGCACUUUCAUUGCCAAGGGCCUAGGUUCAGUCACUUGUGGGGGAACUAAGAUCCCACUGCCUACACAGCAUGAUCAGAAAAAAAAAAAAAAAUUCCCCACACCUGGCUGCUUCCCAGCAUCCCUUAGGAGAACCCUUCCUACUUCCCAUGCCCAGGUCCCUGGUCCGUGGAAUAAGAAUCUUCAGGGUUUGGGGCCCGAGGAUCUGUAGUUUUUAACCCCCUGCAAGUAACUAUGAGGCUCACCUAGGUUUAGAACCCACUGCCUUGGGGUCCAUAAGAUCCCAAGGGUGCUUGUUAAAAACUCAGACUCCUGGCUGACCUUGGGCCUGGUGUGGGGCCAUGGAAUCUGCAUUCCAACAAGCAUGCUGUCCACAGACCAUACAAAGGGGACCUUUGAGGGCUGGGAAAGGGCCUCUGCAGCCAUCACUUUUCCAAUUUAAUCAAAAUGUAGACGAACCUCAAUAGGAAGCAGCUCUUCCUUCUUCCCAGAGGAACCAGCUAGACUCUCUGAAAUCCAGUUUGCUUGGCUAGCUCCAAAGCAUUAGCAUAAAAGCACUGGAGAGUGAAGGAAAAGAACAGCUCUUCUGCCCAAGAGAAAACCCUCCGUGCCAAGCAGAAGGGGGGCCGUGGUGGACAGCGUGGCAGGUGGUGUUUAUCUGCAAUCAUAGGCUAUUCACCAAACUCCCAAACCGCCUCUUAUAUGCAAAUUGUUCACCAGCAACCUCUCUUAGCCAUUCGUCUUGGGAAUUGAUGGCAGUCGCCUUCUUUUUCCCUUUCCCAAAUCAAACUCCUAAAGAGUCAGCAAAGCCUGGAAGCCACACAAAGGCACCACGUCCCGUGUCACAGAACAGGACAUCACCCCAGAGGUGGACCACCAGCCCCGGGACUCAAAACAAGGAGUCGGGUUUGUUUACUGAGGCAAAAUCACAAAGAUGUUUUCACAUUAAGUUCCAAAAUAGUUCUCCCUGGACUUCCCUGGUGGCGCAGUGGUUAAGAGUCCACCUACCAAUGCAGGGGACACGGGUUCAAGCCCUGGUCCGGGAAGAUCCCACAUGCCGCGGAGCAACUAAGCCCGUGCACCACAGCUACUGAGUCUGCGCUCUAGAGCCCGUGAGCCACAACUACUGAGCCCGCAUGCCACAACUACUGAAGCCCACGCGCCUAAAGAGAAGCCAUCACAAUGAAAAGCCCAUACACCGCAAUGAAGAGUAGCCCCUGCUCACCGCAACUAGAGAAAGCCCGUGCACUGCGACCAAGACCUGAUGCAGCCAAAAAAUAAAUAAAUUUAAAAAAAGAAAAAUCCAGGGUUCACGGAUAUUACUUGCAGUGAUAUCUGUAAUAUUUUUAAAUGGAAAUGAUUUAAUGUUCAAGGGUAAGAGAAUAAAAAUUGUAGACAUACAGUGGGAUCGUAGUAAGCUCUUAAAAAAUAAUGCUGUAGGGAUUUCCCUGGUGGUCCAGUGGUUAAGACUCCGAGCUCCCAGUGCAGGGGGCCCGUGUCCCAUCCAUGGGACUAGAUCCCGUAUGCUGCAACUAAAAUAUCCUGCGUGCAGCAACUAAGACCCGGCGCAGCCUAAACAAAUAAAUAAAUAUACUUUUUUAAAUGCCUUACAAAUUUAUUUAAAAAUAAUAAUAAUAAUGCUAUAGAACGGGAGUCGGAAAACCACACCCACAUGCCAAAUCGACCUGCCUCUUGCUUUCGUAAAUAAAGUUUUAUUUGAACACAGCCGUGCUAAUUGUCUAUGUGUCCUCAACAAUUGCUUUCAUGCUAUAUGACAGUAGUAAUUCCAACAGACCUUAUGACCUGCAAAGGCUGAAAUAUUUACCAUCUGGACCUUUAUAAAAAAAGUUUACCAACCUCUGCUAUAGGAGGAUAUUUACAAAUGUUUAUGGCGUAUUGCUAAAUGAAAAUAGAAAAUCAAGCUACCGCAUGAUACCAUUUUUGUUAUGCAUACGUAUAAGACUGAAAUAAAUUCAAAUAACAAUGGUUCUCUCUAGGUAGUGGGAUUAUGGAUGGUCAGAUGUGUCUAUAGAUUUCUAAUAGGCUAUUUUCAUGUUUUUCAGAUUGUCCAUACUGAAUAUCUAUUGUUUCUAUAAUUAGCAAGAGGGAAGAGGAAAAAAUAAGAGUAAGUGGGAGUUGUAUCAUACCUGGGACUCGCUUCAGUGCCAUUUUCCACUCUCCCCUCCCAAUCUCCAUCCCAACCCCCAACCCCAUCCCAGUCCCCCUCCGGAGUACCUCCUUGCCCCCAUCUCCAUCCCAAUCUUGCCUUGCUUUGCAAAAUCCCCACUCAAACGAAAAAGGAGAGGAUUCCUUUUAUUCCACAUCAGCAGUUGCACCUGCGGACAUGGAGGGACAGGACGGAGAAGAAGCAGAGUUUUGUUUUGGUUUGUUUUUUUACUGGUUUUGUCUCUGAACUAAAAAUACAAG